rnacentral:rRNA from 1 species
GACGAACGCUGGCGGCGUGCUUAACACAUGCAAGUCGAACGGUGAAGCGCCUUCCUUUUUGGUGGGUGUGGAUGAGUGGCGAACGGGUGAGUAACACGUGAGUAACCUGCCCCCUUCUUCUGGAUAACCGCAUGAAAGUGUGGCUAAUACGGGAUAUUCUGGGUCUGUCGCAUGAUGGGUCUGGGAAAGAUAUUGUUUCGGUGGGGGAUGGGCUCGCGGCCUAUCAGCUUGUUGGUGGGGUGAUGGCCUACCAAGGCGGUGACGGGUAGCCGGCCUGAGAGGGUGGCCGGCCACACUGGGACUGAGACACGGCCCAGACUCCUACGGGAGGCAGCAGUGGGGAAUAUUGCACAAUGGGCGCAAGCCUGAUGCAGCGACGCCGCGUGAGGGAUGGAGGCCUUCGGGUUGUGAACCUCUUUCGCCAGUGAAGCAGGCCUGCCUCGUUUGUGGGUGGGUUGACGGUAGCUGGAUAAGAAGCGCCGGCUAACUACGUG